rnacentral:rRNA from 1 species
GAUGAACGCUGGCGGCGUGCCUAACACAUGCAAGUCGAGCGAACAGACGAGGAGCUUGCUCCUCUGACGUUAGCGGCGGACGGGUGUGUAACACGUGGAUAACCUACCUAUCAGUCUGGGAUCACUACGGGAAACCGGAGCUAACACCGGAUAAUCUAUUGAACCGCAUGGUUCAUUAGUGAAAGACGGCUUUGCUGGCUCUUAUAGAUGGAUCCGCGCCGCAUUAGAUAGUUGGUAAGGUAACGGCUUACCAAGGCGACGAUGCGUAGCCGACCUGAGAGGGGGGUCGGCCACACGGGAGCGUGGACGCGGACCAGAGUACUACGGUAGGGAGCAGUAGGGAAUGGUCCGCAAUGGUCGAAAGCAUGACGGAGCAACGCCGCGUGUGUGAUGGAGGUCUUCGGAUCGUAAAACUCUGUUAUUAGGUAAGAACAGAUGUGUAAUUAGCUAUGCACUUCUUGACGGUACCGAAUCAGAAAGCCACGGCUAACUACGUG